rnacentral:rRNA from 1 species
AUGAAGCUCCUGGAAUUCAACUUUGCAAUCCAAUAUAAAAAAGGAGUAGAAAAUAGAGUGGUUGAUGCUCUAUCAAGGAUUGUUCCAAAAUGUUUUGCUAUAUCUGUUGUUACUCCUACAUGGGCUGAGGAAUUAAUAACAAGCUAUCAACAGGACCAGCAAACCAAAACAUUGGUAGAGCAGUUGUUAGUGCAGAAACAGAGCACUAACUCAGACUAUACACUACAUGCUAGUGUAAUCAAAUACAAGGGAAGGUUGUUAGUGGGAAAAUCAGUUGAACUCAGGAACAAGUUAAUAUUAGCACUUCACAAUUCUCAUAUGGGAGGACACUCGAGAAGGAGAGCUACAUACCACAGAGUCAAAAGCAUUUUUAUUGGCAGGGCCUAA